rnacentral:rRNA from 1 species
UAGGGAAUAUUGGACAAUGGGGGCAACCCUGAUCCAGCCAUGCCGCGUGAGUGAAGAAGGCCCUCGGGUUGUAAAGCUCUUUUGUCCGGAAAGAAAAGCAUUCGGUGAAUACCCGGAUGUUCUGACGGUACCGGAAGAAUAAGCACCGGCUAACUUCGUGCCAGCAGCCGCGGUAAUACGAAGGGUGCAAGCGUUACUCGGAAUUACUGGGCGUAAAGCGUGCGUAGGUGGUUGUUUAAGUCUGAUGUGAAAGCCCUGGGCUCAACCUGGGAAUGGCAUUGGAAACUGGGCAGCUAGAGUGCGGUAGAGNGUAGUGGAAUUCCCGGUGUAGCAGUGAAAUGCGUAGAGAUCGGGAGGAACAUCUGUGGCGAAGGCGACUGCCUGGACCAGCACUGACACUGAGGCACGAAAGCGUGGGGAGC